GGCCCGCCCGCAGGCCAGCUUCUCUCGGGAGCCUCCACCCAGGCGCAUGGCUCCAUGAAGCAAGAGGAGGAGGCAGAGCGCGAGAGAUCCCGUCCGCCCCAGCCGCGUCUGGGCCAGGAGAAAAGCAAAACCAUAUUCCUGCUGCUGUCAGUUUUGAUGCACUGAGAAAACUUCAGAGACCUAAGCUUUUUCCAGAGAAGAGAAGCUUUACUGGUGUUCCAGCCCUAAGAAACUUAAAUCCUCAGUGUGACACAACUCAGUCCUUCUACUGCAGCAGCUCUUUUAUAAAAGCCUCCCAAAGCUCCAAGAAGGAACAAAGAAUGUGACCCAGUAAGCUCACACCAUAAGUCUAUAUUGCAGAAACCUUUGUUCAACAAAACUGCAGAUGCUCUGUUGAAUCCACUGGAGAUUGUCCUGAUACUAAGGACAAGUAUGCUCAUAUGACAUUAACAGACAAGACACUUUUCAGAAAGACAGGCAACGUGUUGGACCUUCCGGAGCUUCUCAGAAGACAGAGGGUUUUCUUUUGAGGUAAAUUUGAUAGUACAUUUUGAUAGUACAGGAGGCGAUACGGCAUGGUGACAGAAAAGCGCCGGCUUGGUUAGCGGGACCACCUGGCAGGGCUGCAGGCUGUGCCACUUACCAGGCAGGGGACCUUGGGCCAGCUGCUUGGCCUCACUCACCCUGUUUCCUCAGCUGCAAUUGGGAUGAACAGACUGCCUGCUUCGGGGUUGCCUAAAACUCACAUUGCUUAAUGAUGUGAAAUGCUUAGCGCAGUGCCUGGCAUAGAGAGAAUUCUCAUUAGAUGAUACCUCAGCUGGGCUUUAGGAGCUACAGAAGAAGCUGCAUCUCCAUGAGCUCAGCGUGUUUCUAGCUUUCCUUUUUGUUUUCUAUUCAACCUUUCACCCAACUCAGCUUCUCAAUCCCUAAAUGACAAAGGUUUGGGAAGGAAGACUUGGACCGAUGCUUGCAUUUGUUUCUGAGAAUUAAACGUUAUGUUUUCUUCAAUCCAAA
rnacentral:lncRNA from 1 species